GACGAACGCUGGCGGCGCGCCUAACACAUGCAAGUCGAACGGAGCUGCGAGAAGCUUGCUUUUCUUAGCUUAGUGGCGAACGGGUGAGUAACGCGUGAGUAACCUGCCCUGGAGUGGGGGACAACAGUUGGAAACGACUGCUAAUACCGCAUAAGCCCACGAUCCGGCAUCGGAUUGAGGGAAAAGGAUUUAUUCGCUUCAGGAUGGACUCGCGUCCAAUUAGCUAGUUGGUGAGGUAACGGCCCACCAAGGCGACGAUUGGUAGCCGGACUGAGAGGUUGAGCGGCCACAUUGGGACUGAGACACGGCCCAGACUCCUACGGGAGGCAGCAGUGGGGGAUAUUGCACAAUGGGGGAAACCCUGAUGCAGCGACGCCGCGUGGAGGAAGAAGGUUUUCGGAUUGUAAACUCCUGUCGUUAGGGACGAUAAUGACGGUACCUAACAAGAAAGCACCGGCUAACUACGUG
rnacentral:rRNA from 1 species